CGGGGCAGCAUGGUGAUUGCUUGCAUUACUGAUGGCGACCGGCGCACGGGUGAGUAACGCGUAUCCAACCUACCCUUUACUACGGGAUAACCCGGCGAAAGUCGGACUAAUACCGUAUGUAGUCCAUUGACGGCAUCCGAUAUGGACCAAAGGCUUAGCGGUAAAGGAUGGGGAUGCGUCCGAUUAGCUUGACGGCGGGGUAACGGCCCACCGUGGCAACGAUCGGUAGGGGUUCUGAGAGGAAGGUCCCCCACAUUGGAACUGAGACACGGUCCAAACUCCUACGGGAGGCAGCAGUGAGGAAUAUUGGUCAAUGGACGGAAGUCUGAACCAGCCAAGUAGCGUGCAGGAUGACGGCCCUAUGGGUUGUAAACUGCUUUUGUAUGGGGAUAAAGUUAGGGACGUGUCCCUAUUUGCAGGUACCAUACGAAUAAGGACCGGCUAAUUCCGUGCCAGCAGCCGCGGUAAUACGGAAGGUCCAGGCGUUAUCCGGAUUUAUU
rnacentral:rRNA from 1 species